rnacentral:rRNA from 1 species
CGAGUGUCCCCGAGCGUUAUCCGGAAUCAUUGGGCGUAAAGGGUGUGUAGGCUGUUUUGUUAGUCUUCUGUCAAAUUCUUCGGCUUAACCGGGGGUCCGCAAGGGAAACGGCAAACUAGAGGAUGCGAGGGGUGAAUGGAACUCAUAGUGGAGGGGUGAAAUCCGUUGAUAUUAUGGGGAACACCAAAAGCGAAGGCAAUUCACUGGCGCAUUCCUGACGCUGAAACACGAAAGCGUGGGUAGCGAAUGGGAUUAGAUACCCCAGUAGUCCACGCCCUAAACGAUGUCAACUAGCUAUUCGGAGUAUCGACCCUCUGAGUGGCGUAGCUAACGCGUUAAGUUGACCGCCUGGGUAGUACGACCGCAAGGUUA